ACGCUGAGGUCAUGUGCUUGCACAAGACCAAGUAGUUGCGAAGGGAAAGAAACGCGUAGGUAACCUGCCUCAUAGCGGGGGAUAACAAAUGGAAACGAUAGCUAAUACCGCAUGAGAGUUUUUAACACAUGUUAGGAACUUAAAAGGAGCAACUGCUUCACUAUGAGAUGGACCUGCGUUGUAUUAGCUAGUUGGUGAGGUAACGGCUCACCAAGGCAACGAUACAUAGCCGACCUGAGAGGGUGAUCGGCCACACUGGGACUGAGACACGGCCCAGACUCCUACGGGAGGCAGCAGUAGGGAAUCUUCGGCAAUGGGGGCAACCCUGACCGAGCAACGCCGCGUGAGUGAAGAAGGUUUUCGGAUCGUAAAGCUCUGUUGUUAGAGAAGAAUGGAAGUAGGAGUGGAAAGUCUACUUCGUGACGGUAACUAACCAGAAAGGGACGGCUAACUACGUGCCAGCAGCCGCGGUAAUACGUAGGUCCCGAGCGUUGUCCGGAUUUAUUGGGCGUAAAGCGAGCGCAGGCGGUUCUAUAAGUCUGAAGUUAAAGGCAGUGGCUCAACCAUUGUUCGCUUUGGAAACUGUAGAACUUGAGUGCAGAAGGGGAGAGUGGAAUUCCAUGUGUAGCGUGAAAUGCGUAGAUAUAUGGAGGAACACCGUUGCGAAAGCGGCUCUCUGUCUGUAACUGACGCUGAAGCUCGAAAGCGUGGGGGAGCAAACAGAUAAAAUAACCCUGGUAGUCCCACGCCGUAACGAUGAUUGCUAGGUGUAGCCGUUCCGGCCCUAAUGGCCGCAGCUAACGCAAUUAAGACCUCCGCCUGGGGAAGUACGAACCGCCAGUUAGAAACUCCAAAGAAAUGA
rnacentral:rRNA from 1 species